rnacentral:rRNA from 1 species
GACUAACGCUGGCGGCGUGCCUAAUACAUGCAAGUCGAACGGGAUUCUUUGAUCAGCUUGCUGAGAGAAGGAUCUAGUGGCGGACGGGUGAGUAACGCGUGGGAAUCUGCCUCUUACUGGGGGAUAACAGUGGGAAACUACUGCUAAUACCGCAUAAGAUCUUCGGAUGAAAGGUGCAACUGCACCGGUAAGAGAUGAGCCCGCGUCCCAUUAGCUAGUUGGUGAGGUAAAGGCUCACCAAGGCGACGAUGGGUAGCCGGCCUGAGAGGGUGAACGGCCACACUGGGACUGAGACACGGCCCAGACUCCUACGGGAGGCAGCAGUAGGGAAUCUUCCGCAAUGGGCGCAAGCCUGACGGAGCGACGCCGCGUGAGUGAUGAAGGCCUUCGGUCGUAAAGCUCUGUUCUUGAGGACGAAUAAGCCAGGGAGUGGAAAGCCCUGGUGAUGACUGUACUCAAGGAGAAAGCUCCGGCUAACUACGUGCC